AGCAGCCGCGGUAAUUCCCGUGCCGCAAGUGGUGAUCAUGGUUAUUUGGCCUAAAGCGUCCGUAGCCGGUUUGGUAAGUUCUUAGUGAAAUCUUGCGUCAAACGCGAGGCGUGCUAAGAAUACUACCAAACUUGGGACCGGGAGAAGCUGGAGGUACUUCUGGGGUAGGGGUAAAAUCCUGUAAUCCUAGAAGGACCACCUGUGGCGAAGGCGUCCAGCUAGAACGGCUCCGACGGUGAGGGACGAAAGCCAGGGGAGCGAACGGGAUUAGAUACCCCGGUAGUCCUGGCCGUAAACGAUGCCCGUUUGGCGUUGCAUGUCUUUUGGGGAUGUGCAGUGCCGAAGCGAAGGCGUUAAACGGGCCGCCUGGGGAGUACGUCCGCAAGGAUGAAACUUAAAGGAAUUGGCGGGGGAGCACUACAAGGGGUGGAGGCUGCGGUUUAAUUGGAUUCAACGCCGGAAAAUUUACCAGAGGCGACAGCAGGAUGCGGGUCAGCCUGAAGGGCUUACCUAACAAGCUGAGAGGUGUUGCAUGGCCAUCGUCAGCUCGUAUCGUGAGACGUCCGGUUAAGUCCGGUAACGAGCGAGACCCACACCUUUAGUUGCUAAGUUGCCCUCCGGGACAACAGUACUCUAAAGGGACUGCUGGUGAUAAACCAGAGGAAGGCGUGGGCGACGGUAGGUCCGUAUGACCCGAAACUUCUGGGCUACACGUGGCCUACAAUGGCCAGGACAGCGGGUUGCAACUCCGAGAGGAGAAGCCAAUCCCUAAACCUGGUCUCAGUUCGGAUCGAGGGUUGGAACCUACCCUCGUGAAGCCGGAAUCCCUAGUAAGCGCUGGUUAUUAUCCAGCGCUGAAUACGUCCCUGCUCCUUGCACACACCG
rnacentral:rRNA from 1 species